CCUACGGGUGGCAGCAGUGAGGAAUAUUGGUCAAUGGGCGCGAGCCUGAACCAGCCAAGCAGCGUGAAGGAUGACUGCCCUACGGGUUGUAAACUUCUUUUAUAAAGGAAUAAAGUGAGGCACGUGUGCCUUUUUGUAUGUACUUUAUGAAUAAGGAUCGGCUAACUCCGUGCCAGCAGCCGCGGUAAUACGGAGGAUCCGAGCGUUAACCGGAUUUAUUGGGUUUAAAGGGAGCGUAGAUGGGUUGUUAAGUCAGUUGUGAAAGUUUGCGGCGCAACCGGAAAAUUGCAAUUGAUACUGGCAUCCUUGAUACCAGUUGAGCUAUGCGGAAUUCGUGGUGUAGCGGUGACAUGCUUAGAUAUCACGAAGAACUCCGAUUGCGAAGGCAGCCUACUAAACUGCCACUGACAUUGAUGCUCGAAAGUGUGGGUAUCAAACAGGAUUAGAUCCCCGAGUAGUC
rnacentral:rRNA from 1 species